AGUGAACGCUGGCGGUAGGCCUAACACAUGCAAGUCGAACGGCAGCACAGUAAGAGCUUGCUCUUACGGGUGGCGAGUGGCGGACGGGUGAGGAAUACAUCGGAAUCUACUUUUUCGUGGGGGAUAACGUAGGGAAACUUACGCUAAUACCGCAUACGACCUACGGGGGAAAGCAGGGGAUCUUCGGACCUUGCGCGAUUGAAUGAGCCGAUGUCGGAUUAGCUAGUUGGCGGGGUAAAGGCCCACCAAGGCGACGAUCCGUAGCUGGUCUGAGAGGAUGAUCAGCCACACUGGAACUGAGACACGGUCCAGACUCCUACGGGAGGCAGCAGUGGGGAAUAUUGGACAAUGGGCGCGAGCCUGAUCCAGCCAUACCGCGUGGGUGAAGAAGGCCUUCGGGUUGUAAAGCCCUUUUGUUGGGAAAGAAAAGCAGCAGGUUAAUACCCCGCUGUUCUGACGGUACCCAAAGAAUAAGCACCGGCUAACUUCGUG
rnacentral:rRNA from 1 species